rnacentral:rRNA from 1 species
GACGAACGUUGGCGGCGUGCUUAAUACAUGCAAGUCAACUGAAGCAGUGGUAGCAAUAUCGCUGUGGAGGGGGCGCACGGGGGAGUAACACGUAGGUAAUCUGCCUUCAGGUCUGGCAUAACUCCGGGAAACCGGGGCUAAUAGCAGAUGAUGCAGCGGCGCGACAUCGAGACAGUUGUUAAAUCUAUGGCGUCGGGAGAUGAGCCUGCGUCUGAUUAGCUAGUUGGCGGGGUAACGGCCCACCAAGGCAACGAUCAGUAGCUGGUCUGGGAGGAUGAUCGGCAACACUGGAACUGAGACCCGGUCCAGACUACUACGGGAGGCAGCAGUAAGGACUAUUGCUCAAUGGAAGAAAUACUGAAGCAGCACCGCCGCGUGCGGCACGACGGGCUUUAGCUUGUAAACCUCUGUAGUGAGCGAAAACAAUCCUAAUCUAUGGGACAUGAUGGUAUCUGAAAAGUAAGCCCCGGCUAACUACGUG